rnacentral:rRNA from 1 species
GUGGAUUAGAUACCCGGGUAGUCCACGCCGUAAACGAUGAAAACUAGCUGCCGGGGCACUUGGUGCUUCGGUGGCGUAGCUAACGCGAUAAGUUUUCCGCCUGGGGAGUACGGCCGCAAGGUUAAAACUCAAAGGAAUUGACGGGGGCCUGCACAAGCGGUGGAGCAUGUGGUUUAAUUCGAAGCAACGCGCAGAACCUUACCAGCCCUUGACAUCCCGAUCGCGGGGACGAGAGAUCGACCCCUUCAGUUCGGCUGGAUCGGUGACAGGUGCUGCACGGCUGUCGACAACU